rnacentral:misc_RNA from 1 species
GGUCACCUGAACCUAAAAGACAAUAAAAUUUCAGCUUGAUGUCUAUACGUUAGGGCUGGCAGGCUAAGCACAGCAAUUGCGUGAUUGCGUCCUGGACCUUAAAUCUGAAGCCUGAAUAAUUAAAGUGAAAAUUUCCUUCCAACUGUGAUUGGUUUGACCUCUGAAGACUGGAGUUUUUCUUUCUCGUGUUUCAAUGACCUCUUCUCAGAUGAAAUGCAAG